rnacentral:rRNA from 1 species
CCUACGGUAGGCAGCAGUGAGGAAUAUUGGUCAAUGGACGCAAGUCUGAACCAGCCAUGCCGCGUGCAGGAAGACGGCUCUAUGAGUUGUAAACUGCUUUUGUACGAGGGUAAACGCAGAUACGCGUAUCUGUCUGAAAGUAUCGUACGAAUAAGUAUCGGCUAAUUCCGUGCCAGCAGCCGCGGUAAUACGGAGGAUUCAAGCGUUAUCCGGAUUUAUUGGGUUUAAAGGGUGCGUAGGCGGUCGGAUAAGUUAGAGGUGAAAUCCCGAGGCUCAACUUCGGAAUUGCCUCUGAUACUGUUCGGCUAGAGAGUAGUUGCGGUAGGCGGAAUGUAUGGUGUAGCGGUGAAAUGCUUAGAGAUCAUACAGAACACCGAUUGCGAAGGCAGCUUACCAAGCUACUUCUGACGUUGAGGCACGAAAGCGUGGGGAGCAAACAGGAUUAGAUACCCCAGUAGUC